rnacentral:lncRNA from 1 species
CAGGAAAAGGAGCUACUAGCUCCAGCAAAUGUUCUCCAACAUCCAAUGUAACUCCAUCAGAUCAAGAAGUGCGUGGUGUGAAGCCUGAGCGGCGGCAACGCAAAUUUUCGCUGGAGGAGCGACGGCGAGCGCGAGUCAAGGCGGAUGACCAGGCCGAUGCUUUCGUAGAAGACCAGGCCGGUGCUUCUAAGGAGAGCGCUUCGCCGAGACGCCUGCGCCAUCAGCCGACGGCUUGCAUCGCCACGGCGCCCGAGUCCAAAGAGGAGGACAAAGAGGACAAGGAGGAGGACAGCGAAGAGGUCCUACCACGCCGCCGCCCUGCAUCAUCACGUCACCUCAGGGGGUCUGAUUCCGUCCGGAUAAACAAGACCAGCGUGGGCAAGAAGCG